AUUGAACGCUGGCGGCAGGCCUAACACAUGCAAGUCGAGCGGAUGAGGAAAGCUUGCUUUUCGAUUCAGCGGCGGACGGGUGAGUAACGCCUAGGAAUCUGCCUGUUAGUGGGGGAUAACUCGGGGAAACUCGGGCUAAUACCGCAUACGUCCUACGGGAGAAAGUGGGGGAUCUUCGGACCUCACGCUAACAGAUGAGCCUAGGUCGGAUUAGCUAGUAGGUGAGGUAAUGGCUCACCUAGGCGACGAUCCGUAACUGGUCUGAGAGGAUGAUAAGUACCACUGGAACUGAGACACGGUCCAGACUCCACCGGGAGGCAGAAGUUGGGAAUAUUGGACAAUGGGCGAAAGCCUGAUCCAGCCAUGCCGCGUGUGUGAAGAAGGUCUUCGGAUUGUAAAGCACUUUAAGUUGGGAGGAAGGGUAUUCACCUAAUACGUGGGUACUUUGACGCUACCAACAGAAUAAGCACCGGCUAACUCUGUGCCAGCCGCCGCCGUAAGAC
rnacentral:rRNA from 1 species